GCCGGCGUGAUGGAAUUGGCAGACGUGAUGGACUCAAAAUCCAUUGGUGGCAACACCGUGCCGGUUCGAGUCCGGCCGCCGGUACCA
rnacentral:tRNA from 1 species